UGCAGUUCUCAGGUGAAGCACCCCGGAAUCGGGCUCCCUCCUCUCUGAUUCCAGUUGUGUCACCUGAGAACACCC
rfam:Myotis brandtii contig179266, whole genome shotgun sequence.